rnacentral:rRNA from 1 species
GACGAACGCUGGCGGCGUGCUUAACACAUGCAAGUCGAACGGAAAGGCCCUGCUUUUGUGGGGUGCUCGAGUGGCGAACGGGUGAGUAACACGUGAGUAACCUGCCCUUGACUUUGGGAUAACUUCAGGAAACUGGGGCUAAUACCGGAUAGGAGCUCCUGCUGCAUGGUGGGGGUUGGAAAGUUUCGGCGGUUGGGGAUGGACUCGCGGCUUAUCAGCUUGUUGGUGGGGUAGUGGCUUACCAAGGCUUUGACGGGUAGCCGGCCUGAGAGGGUGACCGGCCACAUUGGGACUGAGAUACGGCCCAGACUCCUACGGGAGGCAGCAGUGGGGAAUAUUGCACAAUGGGCGGAAGCCUGAUGCAGCAACGCCGCGUGCGGGAUGACGGCCUUCGGGUUGGAAACCGCUUUCGCCUGUGACGAAGCGUGGGUGACGGUAAUGGGUAAAGAAGCACCGGCGAACUACGU